GGGGCGGGCGGCCAGCGCUGGGCCCGGCGGGAGCAUCCCUCGACAUCCGCCGCCAUCCGCCGCCAUCCGCCCUCCCCGGGGCUCCCCCUCCACCCCGGCUACCCGUGGGCACCUCGCCCCGCGGCGGAGCUUCGGGGCGCUCCGAUGGCCUGGAAGGGCAGCCUGACCUUGAUCCGUCCCGGGCCGGGCCCGGCCCCGGCAGCAUCCUGGUGAUCCCGGAGUGUGGGAUGGCUGGUGGCAGCCUCGCUGUGGCAGCAUUCUGCAGGAUUCCUGGGUGUUUCAGAGCUCUCCUGCCUGAUGGAUAGACCCCAGGAAUUACUCACUGAGAGAGAAUGAGAGCUUGUGAACCCUCUCCCAGGGGGUCUGGUUUGCUUCCUGUAGGCCUGAGUCGUGGGGAAGCUGCAGCGUGGAGCAAGUCUAAGCAGAGCCCAUUCCUGAGGGGUUCGUUGCUAUGUGGUACUUUACCAGUCCUCCAGCAGUGGGAGCUCUGCAGAGCCAGAUCCCGGCUCCUUCCCGAGCCAUGAGCUCCUCCGGGCAGGAUCCACUCCUGGGCUCCACUCACCUGCAUUGCAGGGACAGGGAACUGCUUUGGCUCCGGGUGCUGCUCAAGAUCCUGUUGUGACCCUGCGUGGAAGAGCAGUCCCUUCUGUGGAGUUUCCUCAGGAGUGGAGUUAUUUAAUAUUAGUGGAUAUUAAAUCUUGGAGGCUCAAUAAACACAACUGCUUGAAA